rnacentral:rRNA from 1 species
CGAGCAUCUUUGUUGUUCCAAGCUACAAAGAGCCAACGGUGGAUGCCUUGGCGCCUGAAGCCGAAGAAGGACGUUGGAGGUUGCGAUAAGCCACGGGGAGUUACCUCCCGAGCAGUGAUCCGUGGAUGUCCGAAUGGGGAAACCCACCACGGCGAGAACCGUGGUACUCCCGCCUGAACACAUAGGGCGGGUAGAGGGAACCAGGGGAAUUGAAACAUCUCAGUACCCUGAGGAGAGGAAAGCAAUAGCGACUCCCUGAGUAGCGGCGAGCGAAACGGGAAGAGCCUAAACCGAGCUGGUGGUAAAGCCUGGUGGCGUUGCCAGCCCGGGGUCGUGGGACCGGGAAGAGGGGGCACCAGACCCUUCACGAAGUUACAAACUUGCUGCCUAGCAGAAGCGUUUUGGAAAGUCGCUCCGCAGAGGGUAAGAGGCCCGUAUGCGAAAGGUUGCAAGCUUCGUCCCGGCACCCGAGUAGCGCCGGAUCCGUGAAAGUCGGCGUGAAUCUGCGAAGACCACUUCGUAAGGCUAAGUACUCACAGGCGACCGAUAGUGCACUAGUACCGUGAGGGAAAGGUGAAAAGUACCCCGGGAGGGGAGUGAAAUAGUACCUGAAACCGUUGGUUUACAAACAGUCAAAGCGUCGUUGCCGCCUUCGGGCGGUAGCCGCGAUGGCGUGCCUUUUGAAGAAUGAGCCAGCGAGUUACCGUACGUGGCGAGGUUAACCCGUGAGGGGGAGCCGGAGCGAAAGCGAGUCUGAACAGGGCGUUCAGUCGCGUGCGGUAGACCCGAAGCCGAGUGAUCUAGCCAUGGGCAGGCUGAGGCGGGGGUAAGACCCCGUGGAGGGCCGAACCCACCCUGGUUGAAAACAGGGGGGAUGACCUGUGGUUAGGGGUGAAAGGCCAAGCAAACUCGGUGAUAGCUGGUUCUCCCCGAAAUGCAUUUAGGUGCAGCGUCGGGCGUUCAGCAUCGGAGGUAGAGCACUGGAUGGGCUAGGGGCCCCACAAGGUUACUGACCCCAACCAAACUCCGAAUGCCGAUGCUCUAGAGCCCGGCAGUGAGACCACGGGGGAUGAGCUUCGUUGGUCGAAAGGGAAACAGCCCAGACCGCCGGCUAAGGCCCCAAAUUCGGAACUAAGUGGUAAACGAUGUGGGAUUGCACAGACAGCCAGGAGGUUGGCUUAGAAGCAGCCACCCUUGAAAGAGUGCGUAAUAGCUCACUGGUCGAGUGAUCCUGCGCGGACAAUGUAACGGGGCUCAAGUUCCGAGCCGAAGCCGCGGACUUCCGUAAGGGAGUGGUAGGGGAGCGUCGCGUGUGCAGCGAAGCGGGGGUGUGAACCGUCGUGGAGCGCACGCGAGUGAGAAUGCUGGCAUGAGUAGCGAGAGAGGGGUGAGAAACCCCUCCGCCGUAAGCCCAAGGGUUCCUGGGGAAGGCUAAUCCUCCCAGGGUAAGUCGGGAGCUAAGGCGAGGCCGAGAGGCGUAGUCGAUGCACAACCGGUUGAUAUUCCGGUACCACCGUGUCCGCGACCAUCCCAAGUCGAGGUACUAAGGGGCUGCCUUCGGGCGAACCGACAGACUCGAGGCGGGCAGCAGAGGCGUGACGCAGGAGGGUAGGUGAACCCCACAGUUGGUGUUGGGGGUAAGCGUGUAGGGAGAGGACCAGGCAAAUCCGGGCCUCACACAUCCUGAGACGCGAUGCCGAGCCGUUUUAGGCGAAGUCACUGAUCCCAUGCUGCCGAGAAAAGCGUCGCUGUCAGCUGUCACGGUGCCCGUACCCCAAACCAACUCAGGUGGGCGGGUAGAGAAUACCAAGGCGAUCGAGAGAACUGUGGUUAAGGAACUCGGCAAAAUACCUCCGUAACUUCGGGAGAAGGAGGGCCCCAGUAGGGUGACGGACUUCGCGUCCCGAGCUCGAGGGGGCCGCAGAGACCAGGGGAAAGCGACUGUUUACUAAAAACACAGCAGCGUGCGAAGUCCGAAGACGAUGUAUACGCUGUGACGCCUGCCCGGUGCCGGAAGGUU